rnacentral:rRNA from 1 species
UUUAAUNGGAAGAACCUUCCCUAUCGUGGAAAUCCUGCGAACCCUUCGGAGGCGAAGGGUCCCUUUGGGAACGCAGAGACAGGUGUNGCCAGGCUUUUUUCAGCUUUUUUUGGGAAAAUUUGGGUUAAAUCCCCNCCCGAGCCCCCCCCUUGCCCCUAUUUCCCCGGGAUUCGGUCGGGCAUUUUAGGGAGACUGCCGGUGACAAACCGGAGGAAGGUGGGGAGGACGUCAAAUCAUCAUGCCCCUUACGGCUAGGGCUACACACGUGUUACAAUGGUCGGUACAAAGGGAAGCGAACCCGGGAGGGGGAGCCAAUCCCAGAAAGCCGAUCUCAGUUCGGAUNGGAGUCUGCAACUCGCCUCCAANGUCGGAAUCGCUAGUANUCGCGAAUCAG